ACCAAGAUGUAGCACCAAUAUUUGCCUUCACGAUACUUCACAUAAAGGUGCUGCAAAACAGAGAAAAUAAGACUGUGAUCCUGACAUAAAAUAUCUAAGACUCUAGAGGAAGAAACAGACACAAAACAGAACAUACUACCAAUCUCUGGCAGGCCUGUGCCUCCUAUCUUCCCCAUUCUUCUAAUUACCUUUCACAGUGGUACAAAGUCAUCUUCCUGAAGCAGCUCUGAUUGUAGACGUUUCUGCUCAGAAACAUUUGAUGGAGUCCCCACUGCAUGCAGGAUGAAAUCUAAACUUCUUCAGGAACAGUCAAGACUCUCCUUGUUCAGGCAGGCCACAGGCUACCUCUUGGAUACCUUUAUCUUGCUAAGCAUCUUUUCCUUUCCCUACUCUAUGUAGCAUUUGCUCCAAACAUUAAUCUUUGUUCCCUAACGCAUUCUGUCAUUUUAUAC